rnacentral:rRNA from 1 species
UAAUAGUCUGGCCUGCUCACUGAUAAUUUGUAUUAAAGAGCCGCGGUAACUUGACCGUGCAAAGGUAGCAUAAUCAUUAGUUCUUUGAUUGAGAACUGGUAUGAAUGGUCGGACAAGAGAGGGACUGUCUCUAAUGUUAAAUCGAAAUUGACUUUUAAGUGAAAAGGCUUAAAUAUAUUAGGGGGACGAUAAGACCCUAUAAAGCUUUAUAUGUUAGGUUAAGUUAACUUAAUUGGAAUAUAAAAGUUUACUUAGUAAAACAUAUUUGGUUGGGGCGACUAAGGUAUAAGUACUAGUAACUGAUUAAAACUCAAUCAACGAUAGUUGAUUAAAUUAUAAUUGAUCCUUUUUAAAGAUUAAAGAUUAAGUUACUUUAGGGAUAACAGCGUAAUUUUCUCUGAGAGUCCAUAUCGAAGAAAAAGUUUGCGACCUCGAUGUUGAAUUAAAAUGUCUCUAUAAUGCAGCAGUUAUAGAAGAAAGUCUGUUCGACC